GGAAAGUUGAAAAGAACUCUGAAGAGAGAGUUCAAUAGUACGUGAAACCAUAAUGAGUAAAACGGAUAACUGUACUGUUUUAGCGUUUUGCUUUUCAACAGUUUGUAGUGAUAUUCGACAGUGCGAGAAUUAGCUGUUUCUCAGCAAAAUUCGCGUAGGUAGAAUGUUGUCAUCAGCUGUGAUUUAGUGCAAUUCCUAUCAUUAAAAAGCUUUACGGUCCUGGCAGAGGUGUGCUGCAGUUCGCACUACGUGUGAAGUAACAUGCUGUGCUAUGUGGUUGUUGAGUUUGGCUGAGAUUACUUUAGUCCGAAAUGUUUAAAGCUUUUGUUACAUGUAUGUCUAGCAGACUUGUUUAUUCUGGUUUGUGGCGCUCAUGUGGUAAUUGUUUGCGUUUCAUGUUUAAUGAUCAAGUACUAGUUAUUCGACCCGUCUUGAAACACGGACCAAGGAGUUCAAAUGGCACGCGAGUCAUUGGGUGUAAAAAUCCAAAGGCGAAGUGAAAUGCGAGCGUAUUGUUAUUUGUGGUAUCCAUGAAAAAAUGAUAAGCUACUGAUGCUAUCAGGCAUUUGUAGACUACAAGCGUGUCGUUUGAGACCCGAAAGAUGGUGAUCUAUGCCUAGUCAAGAUGAAGCCAGAGGAAACUCUGGUGGAUGUCUGAAGUUUUUCU
rnacentral:rRNA from 1 species